GGGACACUGAUACACUCAAGACGGAGAACCAUGCUCUAGAUCAGCGCUUCUCAAACAGAUCACCUAAGGAUCUAUUAAAAUGUGGAUUCUGGUUCAACAUGUUUAAGAUGGGAACUCAGAUUCUGCGUUCUUAACAAGCUCCAAGAUGAUGCCGGUGCUGGUCUGGUCUUUUGAGCACACUUUGAGUAGCAAGACUCUAGACUACCCGAGUCCAAGGUCCAGCUUAUUCAUUGCCAGGCAGGGAGAAGGAAAUCUAUACUUGGUAAGUGACACCAAUCCUCUGAGCCUCAGCUUCCUUACAUGUCAUGGGGGAGAGCAAUGGGUUUAUUAUUAUGGAUAAGUGAAAUAAUAUGCAAAGCACAGAGCUUGGGACAUCUUGAGUGCUUGGUAAAUGUUUUCUCUUCCCUCGAUCCUUUCCAUACAACUUCUGAUAGUUUCUUUUUUCUCAUUCAGGUAUUAAGGCUCUUAAACACAAAGACCAUGCUUUUAUUCUUCUGAAGCCAGCCAGUAAAGUGACAUCCGUGAGUCCAUCUGUGCUGUUAAAUAUUGGCUCAGGGCACCACCAUCGCUGUGACCUUUGCUGAUGCUGGGAUUCUCAGGAUGUGCCGACGGAGCAACAGGUCUUCAUCCUGGACUUCUGUGUCUGCGGGAUGCUCCCACCAGGUCUUGUGUGCAGGGACAAUGCUUGGCUCCAGCAAGACCAGGACCUCCUGGUUUUGUCUCUGCUGUUUCCAUCACUAGCAGGCCCCACCCACGCUGCAUUCCUGAGCUGAAGGUUUGCAGCCUGGGACGUGGGACUUUGCACUGCAUGAUCAGACCCAAUGAAUGAAUAUGUCACUGAUUGGAAUUAAGAAAUCCACUUUUUUGGAAGGAGCAUGAAAGAAAAGA
rnacentral:lncRNA from 12 species